rnacentral:lncRNA from 10 species
UAAUGGUCAGAGAUCUAAACAACUCACAGACUAGUGCAGGGAAAAGAGGAAAUAAACACUAGCUCUCUAAUUGAGGUAACGUGCUCAGAGUGUACAUGAGAAAGUGACCUAGAUUCUCAGACAUCUAAGCUGGCUCCUAAAGAGAAGUAAGUAAAAGUUCAUCAGAUGAAGAAUAGAAGGUGUUUUCUAGGUGGAUGGAGGAAGAGAUAUUUACAAAGCCAGGAGGUGUGAGGGAACCUCACAUUCAGGGGAAAUGCAAGAAUAUAUGGAGGACAAGAAGAUGGAAAGAGAGGGCAGUCAGAAAAAUCAGCAAGACAGAGAAAUAACCAAGAGAAAUGAGCAAAGCCCGACUAUUUUGAGGUGGGGGAUUAUCCUGCAUUGUCCUGGUGGGCUCAACGUAAUCACAAGCGUCCUCAUAAAAGGCAGGCAGGAGGGUCAAAGACAGAAAAGCUGACCGAAGACAGAGGCAGAGUUAGUGAAGGCGGGUGGUGAUGCUAUGCUGAUGCCUUUGAAGAAGGGUGAAGAGGCCAUCGUCCAGGGAACACUGAUGACCUCGGCAAGCCAGAAAGGGCAAGGAAACCGAUUCUCCCCCCGUUGACUCCAGAGGGAACUAGCCCUACUGAUUCUUUGACUCCAGGCCAGUGAGGCUGAUGUUGAGUUUUUGACCUCCAGGACAGUAAGAGAAAAAAUCUGUUGUGUUGUAACCCACUGAAUUUGUGAUAAUUUGUUACAGCAGCAAUAGGAAACUAAUAUAUCUGGUUUAGAGAGGAAUAGAUCAGAAGCAAAUCCUGAAACAGGAUACACAGUAAGGAGGUUUAACAGUGAGGAGUAACAAUAUUGCCAGGCACUUAUCGUAGCACUGGAGCUAAAAUAGCCAUC